CGCACGCAGGCGGUUGAUUGAGUCAGAUGUGAAAUCCCCGGGCUUAACCCGGGAAUUGCAUCUGAUACUGGUCAGCUAGAGUCUUGUAGAGGGGGGUAGAAUUCCAUGUGUAGCGGUGAAAUGCGUAGAGAUGUGGAGGAAUACCGGUGGCGAAGGCGGCCCCCUGGACAAAGACUGACGCUCAGGUGCGAAAGCGUGGGGAGCAAACAGGAUUA
rnacentral:rRNA from 1 species